UUGACUGACAUACCCUUUAUUGUUGAUCAAAACUCGCGUGAACAAAGUCGUUUGUGAAUUUAGGUUUUUAAUUGUUCAAAAAUGUAUCCUAAUCCCUUUGAAAGAAGACAUUCUAUUGUUUGGCUGGUGUUCGAAAAGAUUUUUCUGAAGGAUCUUCGUUGUUGGAGGAAAAGAAAAAUCGGUUGAUGGAGGAUAUUUGUACCUAUUGUAAAUAGCAGGUGAAAAUAAUUUAUCUCAAUUAUAAGUGGAUUUAAGUAGUGUAAGAUACCACACUGAAGAGUUCAAGACUUUAGUUACGUAGAUUAUACAGAACUUGGAUAAGAAUUCACUGAAGAGAAAAGAAGAAUUCAUUCAUGGCCAUUAUACUUCAAAACUGUAUAAGUACUUCGUCGUCAGCUUUUUUCUCGUCCCACUGCUGGGCGUAAGCCUGCUCUCACACUGAGAAGGAUUGAGCGUUUAACAAAUAAGUACACAUUACUAUUGAAAAACAAUUUGCAUGUUUAACUGUUCAGGCUGGCAGCGUCCAGGAAUUCACGUUGUAGCUCUAUGUUCUCACUUACUUGUGAGAUGGACUGAAAUGUGUAAAACUUUUACUUAAAAUUAUUUUGAGAGAUUAGCAGUGUUAAUGAAAAUUAAGAAGUGUUUUAUAUACCUAUGUAUAGUAUAAGUAAAAGUAUAUGAAUUUGUUUCGUUAUUGUAUCUAAUAAAAAAAUGUAUUGUGCACAUGACAUGUGUUAGCUAUCUAAAUUCACAAUAUCCAUGACAAUAAUAUCAAAGACUAUUUUUAAAUAAUAGAGUACAAUAAUAAAUGCUUGUUACUGUUAUUAUUUAAUAACUAUUGUAUAAAAUACAAAACAAAAUGUUUAUGAUGUAAUUCCUACAAUAUGCCUACUUAUGGAAGUAGUUUAGAUAAUAAUUAUUACCGAAGACGAGUACAAUAGCCUCCUUGUGUAACACGGUUUUUUUAUCAGACUCACCAGUGGGUUCACCCGUUUCUUGAGGGGACUUCUUUCCGCAUCUGGAUAAAAAGUAGCUUAUAUGUUCUUCUGGUAUAUAAGCCAUAUUACUACCAAGUUAUAUUAAAAUUUGUUCAGCGGUUUGCGCCUGAAGAGGAAAGAAAGAUACACACGCUAACAAACUUUUGCUUUUAAAUGACAGUGUGAAUUAAUUGUAAGUAUGAAAUAGCUAUAGAACAUCUUAAGACAAAUGUGCAACUUAAAAACCUCAACUAAAGUAAAUAUGAUCGAAAAUAUAUUUCAUUGUAGUCUGAUAUCUGGUUUGAGAUAUAUUUGUAUUAAAAUUGUAAUAAAAUUAUAAUUGUGUAGAUUUUUAUUACAUACAGUUCGCGAUUUAA